GACGGAGGGCGCGAGCGUUGUUCGGAAUUACUGGGCGUAAAGCGCGCGCAGGCGGGCGGGCAAGUCGGACGUGAAAGCCCGGGGCUCAACCCCGGGACGCCGUCCGAGACUGUUCGUCUGGGGACCGGUAGAGGCCGGUGGAAUUGCUGGUGUAGCGGUGGAAUGCGUAGAGAUCAGCAAGAACACCCGUGGCGAAGGCGGCCGGCUGGGCCGGAUCCGACGCUGAGGCGCGAAAGCGUGGGGAGCAAACAGGAUUAGAUACCCCCGUAGUCC
rnacentral:rRNA from 1 species